rnacentral:ncRNA from 2 species
UUAAAUUCUCAGGGCGGGGUGAAAUUCCCCACCGGCGGUGUGUUUGUUUUUUCAGUUGAGAAGGCAGAUGAGCCCGCGAGCGCUCGAUGUAUCGAGGUCAGCAGAUCUGGUGAAAAACCAGAGCCGACGGUUAUAGUCCGGAUGAGAGAGAAUGAAG